rnacentral:rRNA from 1 species
AUACCCCAUAGGCCGAGAGGUUAAAGGCAGAGAUGCGCGACGGGAGGUACUCGUGUCCUAUCAGCUAGUUGGUGAGGUAACGGCUCACCAAGGCGACGACGGGUAGCCGGCCUGAGAGGGUGACCGGCCACACUGGAACUGAGAUACGGUCCAGACUCCUACGGGAGGCAGCAGUGGGGAAUAUUGGGCAAUGGGAGGAAUCCUGACCCAGCGACGCCGCGUGAACGAAGACGGCCUUCGGGUUGUAAAGUUCUUUUAUGUGGGAAGAAGGAAGUGACGGUACCACAUGAAUAAGCCCCGGCUAACUACGUGCCAGCAGCCGCGGUAAUACGUAGGGGGCGAGCGUUGUCCGGAAUUACUGGGCGUAAAGGGCACGCAGGCUGUGCUUCAAGUCAGCUGUAAAAGGAUGCGGCUUAACCGUGUUAUGCAGUUGAGACUGAGGUGCUGGAGUACCGGAGAGGCAAGUGGAAUUCCCAGUGUAGCGGUGAAAUGCGUAGAUAUUGGGAAGAACAUCGGUGGCGAAGGCGACUUGCUGGACGGUAACUGACGCUGAGGUGCGAAAGCCAGGGUAGCGAACGGGAUUAGAUACCCCGGUAGUCCUGGCUGUAAACGAUGAAUGCUAGGUGUGCGAGCAGAGAUGUUGGCGUGC